AUGGACUCUCGACUCUACAUGCUCACUUUCCUGCCCUUCCUGGUGCUGCUGUCUUUCAUCAGGAACUUGCGUAUCUUGUCCAUCUUCUCCCUGCUGGCCAACAUCAGCAUGUUCGUCAGCCUUAUCAUGAUAUACCAGUUCAUUGUCCAGAGGAUCCCAGACCCCAGCCACCUCCCCUUGGUGGCUCCAUGGAAGACCUACCCUCUGUUCUUUGGCACAGCGAUUUUUGCUUUCGAAGGCAUUGGAGUGGUGCUACCCCUUGAGAACAAAAUGAAGGACUCACAGAAAUUUCCACUGAUCCUGUAUUUGGGGAUGGCUAUCAUCACUGUGCUCUACAUCAGCCUGGGGAGCCUGGGGUACCUGCAGUUUGGAGCUGAUAUCAAGGGCAGCAUCACACUCAACCUGCCCAACUGCUGGUUGUACCAGUCGGUGAAGCUGCUGUACUCCAUAGGCAUCUUCUUCACGUAUGCGCUCCAGUUUUAUGUCGCAGCUGCAGAGACGUUAAACCGUGCUCAUAAGCAGUUCUUCAGAAAAAAAGAAGCAGAAAAAGAGGCUGGAAGGAACCUGGUGUUUGCCCUGUUCUUUGGUUUAAAUCAAGCUGAUGUUGAAGCUGUAUUUUUUUUAUUAACAAUAAAACUCAUGUCUGUAUAGUAGAACCGUCAGUAGCUGUGUGAAUCAAGGAACGAGAGGACGUGCAGAAUCUUAACAGCCAGACAGUACUGUGUGCUGUGUGCCUAGGUUGUGCAUUGCACACAUAUGUGCAUUGCACACAUGAAUCAUGUCAGAGCUUCUAGGUCUCAUUUGGGUUGCACAUAUGGAUCUUGUGUAAACU
rnacentral:lncRNA from 1 species